AUUUUAAUAAAUACUCCCUCCGUUUCAUAUUAGUUGUCGCUGAAACGGAUGUAUCUAGACAUAUUCAGUGCUAGAUACAUCCGUUUGAGCGACAACUGAUAUAGAACGAAGGGAGUAAAUACAACACAAUAAGGAUCGCGUGAAUGGCGUCUCCUCGCGCGUUCCACCUCGUCAUUUUUACUGUGCUAGCAAGAGAGAGAAAAAACGAAAAGGUAAAAAGGGGCGGGCGCUACUGAAGCGACGCAAUUGGGCAAGACCUAGCCCAGGGUCUCCGCACCAGCCCCUUCUCACCUUUGACGCCGCCCCCUCCUCUCCUCUCCCUCAAUUCUCCUCGCGCCGCCGCACCUACUCCGAGCCCCUCCUCUUCCCCAUGCCACCGGCCUCCCUCCUCUGCUUCUCUCAUCGUCGGUCGCGGAUCUCCUCGCCGCGGUUGCAGUGGCCGAACAAGACGAAGAGGAGCUGCAGCGUUGGGUCCGUGCAGCGGCCUCCUCGCGGCGGCCAGCUGCUCGACGCGCCGCGCCACCGCUGCGGGAGAUGGUGAACACGAGGAGAUGCAGGGUGGCCUCGCCGAAAGAGGGUGGCGCCGGGAACCACCCACUGGCGAAGGAUCGCGUGGGCUGGCACUUCCCCGCGAUGCCCUCCUUCCCUGACUUCGCCGUCGCCACUGCCCCCUCCCCUCCCGUCGAGGCUGAGCGUGCACAGCAUGGACGAGCCGAUCGCGACGAAACCAGACCGCUCGAGGCCGGGGUGCGAGAACAAGAUGAUGUCCAACAGGCGGAGAGUGGCCAUGGGAGGAGCAGCCCACAAUGAAAUCCAUUUUCUCUUUGUGUGUGUGAGGAUCGAGGAAGGAGAUGGCGUGGCCGCGUGGGGAUGAGGCGGUGGACAGAGGAAGAGGACAGAUCUGGAUCCAGGCGGCCACUCGUAGAGUGGCCAGAGGAGUAGACCAACAUCCCUCUUUACCUUCCACGCAACACCAACAUGGUGAGCUUCCCCUAUCCCCCAUCUACUCCCAUAUCUGAACAUCAACUACAGUUUGUACAUUUUGGUUAUACUUUGUUUCAGUUUGUACACAUCUCUUUUUGGUUAAACUCCUGUCUUAGAUGCCAUGGCAGAAACUAGAGCAAACUGUAUGUGUGCAUCACAUUUUGGUUCAGUUUUGGAUGACUGAGACUAGGUAGAGCACACUAUGUGUGUGUGUGUGUGUGUGUAUCCAUUGUAUCAUGACGAAUUGACUUGUGCUAGAAUUAGAAACGAGAAAUGGUACACAGACAUGCUAGUCUAUUUAACCACCUUCUCAGGUCAACUUGACACAAUACUAUUUUGAUGGGUUUUAGUAACUGUGUUUAUAUACUCUAUAAAUUUAUUCAUCAACAUGAUUUCUCUAUUUUCUGUGUCAUACAUUUUACAUAUCUUUAGUCAUCAAAAAUCAAAUAGGGGCAUGACUGUUACAGAAAAAUUACUUGCAAGCAUAUUGUGAUUUACUUCUUUAUAGAGUAUUUUGUAAUGCAAUUAUCUGUAUAAUCUCCUAUGUUUGUCUGAUGCUGACCAUCUGAGAAUAUGUGAAACUAUUUUCUCUCUGUCCUGAAGGUUGUUGACUGCAGAAACUGUGGCGAUCCACACUCUGUUAGUUCACACUCAUUGAGUUCGCUCGUGGAGUUAUUAUAUCUUCACAUGGUACAUUUAUGUUUUUUGGCAGUUAAUUGAUGCUUUGAUACAUGAUACAUUUCAUGCACAGGGUUCUAGAGCUGCACUUAACUUGCUAACAUCAUCGCCUUGUUCUUCCUGGCAACGUAAGGACCAUCAACUUCCAUCUGCAACUCUAGCACAAGAGUGAGGAUGGUGAGCCAACCGACAACACCGCAAGAUUCUACAAAUGGUUCUCAAAGGUUUGAUGGCGAUGACAUGGCGCAGUCGAGCAAGUUUUGGUCAAUGUUUCAUGGUUCAAUCAACGAAUGGUGUUAAAACUGAAAAUCAUGAAAGCAAGAUUUUGAGUGAUUCCUACCUCGAGCUUCUGCUUCAGUUGUUUCUUGGUUGUUCAAGUAUGCUUGGUGGUUCUCCAUCGAGGGUUGAGAUGGACCAUGCACUGGUUACAUCUUCUCCUAUCUCCAUGUUCUUCUUAAUUUUCUUUUGCAAUGAGAGCUGGAUUUAGACAGCAGUUUGUGCAGUCCAUGCUUUUAACAUUGAAAAUGAGAAGGUGAAAUGAUGGGUUUGGACAGUGCUGGUGUUUUUUUUCUGGGCAUUACAUUACUAAAAUGAACUAUAUUAACAAUUGUUGAACUUCCAUAGCUAAUAAGAUGAUUUUUUUCAGCAUUCGAUAUGGAACAAUUUUACCAUAUGUGGCUGCUUUCAGGUGCUUUGUUAGGUGACACCUGCGCCUUCAUUUAAAGUGCAAGCCGCCUCUCUCACUGUGCAUUAUCUCUAGACGCACCACCGUACACCGCAGCUACCGGCUAUACAUAUGAUCCAUGUGUCGUGUUUAGUCUCUCUCUAAGACUUGAUAUGCCUGCGUUCUGAUGAUCCGACAGACUCUUCAUCUCUUUUGAAGAUCACCCACCUUUUGGAAGAUGUUCAUCUUUGAUUUCAACUGCUGAACGUGUCUCAUGUGCUUCAGUUGAUAUAGACCCGCUAGCUUGCUCUGCUUGCUAUGUUUUAUGGCUGAACACUCUAAUAUUGCAGUUCUGUUAAGUGUAUUCCUUUUUAAGAAA